UACGUAGGGUGCAAGCGUUGUCCGGAAUUAUUGGGCGUAAAGAGCUCGUAGGCGGUUUGUUGCGUCGGCUGUGAAAUCCCGAGGCUCAACCUCGGGUCUGCAGUCGAUACGAGCAAACUAGAGUGUUGCAGGGGAGACUGGAAUUCCUGGUGUAGCGGUGAAAUGCGCAGAUAUCAGGAGGAACACCGGUGGCGAAGGCGGUGGUCUGGGCCGGCACUGACGCUGAGGAGCGAAAGCGUGGGGAGCAAACAGG
rnacentral:rRNA from 1 species